AUUCCAUGUUUUAUGGAUUUCUACUCGUAUUUUUUCAUUUUUUAUUAUUUGUUCAUACUGUGAAUGUUUUGCAGAAGCUUUUGAGUGUGAAGACAAAAUAUGAAGAAGCGACAGAUGCCGAAAUCAUACAAAGUGUUUCCCAUACGGAUAUGGUUGGAUGAUGUCAGAUGAUGGACGGCAAAAAAAGAAUGCCAGUAGUCGACCACAAUUCCGGUUUCAAUUAUCUGCAGAUCCUGAUGACGAAGAUUAUAUGAAGGUUUCGUGUAUAUUGAUACAUAUUUUAAUGUUGUUAAUGGAAAAUGAAUAAAUUUUUUCAACUGA